rnacentral:rRNA from 1 species
AUGCAUGGCCCCGCCACCCAGCGACGUAGAGCAGACACAGGCACGAGAAUAAAUAUCAGAGAGAGAGGUAUAGAGCAGAGCAGAGCAAUGGAGUCCGACAUGGAGAUGAGCUUGGAUUUCUCUUGGGAGACGCCUAGCUUCUUCGAGCUCUGCGGCGCAGAUAGCAUGCACCUGCCGGCUGAGGACUCUCUGUCAUGUCUGUACGACGACUCGACGAGCUCGCCGGACGGCGCCAGCUCGGGGCUGACGAGGAGGUGGGCUGGGAGGAACAUGCUCAACGAGAGGGACAGGCGCAGGAGGCUUAACGAGAAGCUCUACGCCAUUCGCGGCGUCGUUCCAAACAUCACCAAGAUGAACAAGGCGUCCAUCAUCCAGGACGCCAUCGCCUACAUCGAGGAGCUGCAGGAGCAGGAGCGCCAGAUUCUCGCCGCCCCGGAACCGAUGGCUGUGCCGCCGUAG